ensembl:lncRNA
UCCCUGUCUCCUCUUCUCCUUAUUGAUAACACAUUUUCAAAAGGCUUCCAUGAGUUUCUGCCUUCCACAUGUUUUUGUAGCAUGAAUGGGCUUGCAUUAUUAGAAAAGAUUAGGAAUAAGAUUGUGUUUUAUUUUUUUAAAAAGUAAUAUGGACUAUUGUUGAUAGCUGGCUUUGCUUAAAGACACAAUUUGUAUUUAUUUUUUAAUUGGUCAGAUUUUUCCAAAGAAACAACGUCAACAUAUGUUGUUAUUGCCUUCUUCUUUAUCCUCAUUAUUAGUAGCAGUGUGAAUGGCAGUUAAAUGCCAUAGUGAAUGGGAAUGAAAUUCCAUGAUUUUCUAUUUUCUAUCUGUCUCUUUUGUCACUGAUACCAAUGCCCCAUGAGUGACACCAUAUCCUGAUCUUAAUUUGGACAGUUCCACCUACAGCUGUAUUUAGCCAGGUGACCCCUUUCAAAAUCACGUGCCUUUUUUAAUAUCUAUCUAUCUAUCUAUCUAUCUAUCUAUCUAUCUAUCUAUCUAUCUAUCUAUCUAUCUAUCUAUCUAUCUAUCUAUCUAAAAAAAAAAAAAAACACCCAGCGCGCCCCUGCGGGCGGUUUAUCCUUCAAGCUCGGGUCCUCUACCAGAGGCCUGGGAGCUUGAGGGUCCUGCGCAGUAUCUUAGCUGUUCCCAGGACUGCGCUCUUCUGGACAGAGAUCUCCGAUGUUGUUCCCGGGAUCUGCUGGAGCCACUCACCUAGCUUGGGAGUCACCGCACCUAGUGCUCCGAUUACCACGGGGACCACCGUUACCUUCACCCUCCACAUCCUCUCGAGCUCUUCUCUGAGCCCUUGGUAUUUCUCCAGCUUCUCGUGUUCCUUCUUCCUGAUAUUGCUGUCAUUCGGAACCGCUACAUCGAUCACUACGGCCGUCUUCUUCUGUUUGUCUACCACCACUAUGUCCGGUUGGUUAGCCACCACCAUUUUGUCCGUCUGUAUCUGGAAGUCCCACAGGAUCUUAGCUCGGUCAUUCUCCA